UAUCACUCAUCCGGGUCAGGUGGGCCCCACCGACGCAUCUCUGAGGCAGCCCCACGCGACAGAGAAUGUCCGGAGCGCAGCGCCUGCCCCCACCUCCAGCUAGAUCCCGCGCUUCCGGCUCCGGCGACCCGACCUCCCCGGCCAACGAAAUGGCGGCGUGGUGCCCCGCCGAAUCCACCAAGCCUGUCUUCGUCGGGAUCUUCGGCGCCAUCCUCGGCGGCUUCGCUGUCUCCGCCCUCUUCUUCCUCCUCUCCUUCUCCUCCCUCGCAUCUCCCCCUCUCCCCUUCCCCGCCGUCGCCACCACCAUCACUCCCAACGCAUCCGCCCCCGCACAGCCGGAGACCAUGUACAACCGCCCCAUUUGGAAGCCUCCGCCGCGGGGUUCGCGGAUGCCCCCGCCGCGCGCCUUCCGCCUCACCCGCGACAUGGUGCGCGCGCGCGCCCGCGACGGCGUCAUCGUGGUCACCUUUGGCAACUACGCCUUCCUCGACUUCAUCCUCACCUGGGUGCACCACCUCACCGGCCUUGGGGUCGACAACCUCCUCGUAGGCGCCAUGGACACCAAACUGCUCCGCGAACUCUACCUCAGGGGCGUGCCCGUCUUCGACAUGGGCAGCAGGAUGGCCACGGAGGACGCCGGCUGGGGGUCCCCCGCCUUCCACAAGAUGGGCAGGGAGAAGGUGCUGCUCAUCAACACGCUCCUGCCAUUCGGCUACGAGCUGCUCAUGUGCGACACGGACAUGGUGUGGCUCAAGAACCCCUUGCCCUACCUUGCCCGCUACCCCGACGCUGAUAUCCUCACCUCCAGCGACCAAGUCAUACCCACAGUCACCGACGACAGCCUGGAGAAGUGGAGAGAAGUGUCUGGGGCAUUCAAUAUUGGUAUUUUCCAUUGGCGACCCACUGAACCUGCUAAAAGGCUGGCGAAAGAUUGGAAAGAUCUAGUCAUGUCUAACGAUGAAAUAUGGGACCAGAAUGCUUUUAAUGAUCUUGUACGCAAAGUUUUUGGACAACCUGUCCAAGGGCAAGAUGAACUUGUGUAUUCAUAUGAUGGGAAACUGAAGCUUGGAGUCCUACCAGCAACUAUAUUCUGCAACGGCCAUACCUACUUUGUGCAGGGCAUGCAUCAGCAGCUUCGUCUAGAACCGUAUGCUGUGCACACUACUUUCCAGUAUGCAGGUACUGAAGGAAAGCGCCAUAGAUUACGUGAGGCAAUGCUUUUCUUUGAUCCACCACCAUAUUAUGACUCACCAGGGGGUUUCCUAUCAUUUAGACCUAAUAUUCCCAAAAAAUUGCUGUUGGAUGGUACCCAUACAGUUAAAUCUCAUUUUGCAUUGGUCAAUUACCAGAUGAAGCAAGUAAGAACAGCACUUGCUAUUGCUUCGUUGUUAAAGCGAACCCUGGUAAUGCCUGCAUUAUGGUGCAGGCUUGAUAGGAUGUGGUUUGGGCAUCCUGGAGUUCUGGAAGGAACAAUGACAAGACAACCUUUUCUCUGCCCGAUGGAUCAUGUAUUUGAGGUAAAUGUUAUGCUUAAGGACUUGCCUGAGGAAGAUUUUGGUCCACAUAUUGAUUUCAGAGAAUACUCCUUUCUUGAGAAUCCAUCAUUGCCUAAACAGGUGAAAGAGUCCUUUCUUGAGGUGCAGCUCUGCGAUGAACAUAGUACCAGAUGCUCUACAGCUAAUGAAACCAAUAAGCACAGACCCCUUAUAUUAGCAAGGAAUAACACUGAAGAAACGCUUUUGAAUGUCUUCUCUCCAUACAAGAAUAUCAAAAUCUUACAAUUCUCGUCUAUUGUUGACGCCUUCAGAGGUUUUGCCGAUGCUGCUGUGGAGACGAAAUUUCGGGAUCGUGUGAAGAGGUAUGUGGGCAUAUGGUGCUGCGUGGAGUUCCGUGAAAUUGGGCACAUAUAUUAUGACAUGUACUGGGAUGAGAAACCAGGCUGGAAGCCGCAUCCCCCACAGAAUAGGGAAGAUGACCAUCCACCUUGGCCCUAACUAUGGAGGUAGAAGAAAGAGAUAAUUACGAAAAUGGAUGAGACUUUUGUGACAAAGGCAAGAUAGAUGGCUAAUUACCGCAGAGCGUCAACAGCUGUGUCAACUAUUAGUGUUGUUAGCUCAGUGGUUACUAAUGCUAUGAAAUAAGUAACACAAUCUCAGACAAACGGCAACGGAACCCACUUGUCGUGGUCGCACAAGAAACAUCUGUUGAUGCCUGAUUCUGCUACAAUUGGAACACCAGUUGGAGUCUGCUAUCUUGACACCACAAGACACUACCAAUAAAGAUUCCUCACAAGGUUUUACCAUUUUCAGCACUGAGGAUGCUAAUGGUCUAGGAAUGCAAGCGGUUAGUGGAGAGGAUUAUUCUAGGGUUGUUGUCAUACGGUACCCAAGUGACACAGUUUUGAAGUGGGAAGGCGAAACAGCUGCAAUCUGAUGCAAUAUUGCAACGAGGCAUUUGUGUCUAUGGGAUUUGGGAAAGUCAAAACAUCGUGCAGCAAUUUGUAGACGAAGAUUGGAUCGAUGGCUUCGAUGGGCCCCUAUGACGAGUCAAAUUAAUCCACGUAUAUACGACGUGUGUUAGCUUGGCACCGUGCAAUUAAAAUAAGUGCAAAACCCCACUUCAGUUCCUCUCUGCGUUAUUUCCUCCAUCGCUUUCUCCCAGGUCACAGCCACGCAUCAAGUCAUCAUUCUGUGCACACGCAGGAAUCGGGAGAUCGGAAACUCAUCUAAAUGAUCCGAUCCAUAUGUAAUCUCACCCCCAGCCCUAGGUUUUGAUUUUGUACACGCUGGCCGGCCGGCUUCGAACCUACGACCGUCGUGCUGCACUAUUCCGUGCAGGCUUUAAAAUCUGGAGUCUCGUUAAAGCGGAAACGGUGCCACCGAUUGCAUUGGCAUCCAUCCUCUUAGCCACAUGCUUUAAAAUCUGGAGUCUCGUCCCUAGCCUUACCCUUGAGCCCUUGACGCUGGCUUUCCACAUAUUAAUUCAGACUGGGGUGCAAUGGAUGUGGACUGCAAACUAGUACGGGGUACGUUCUUAUCUUCUUCUUCGGAACUGUUUGCAGUCUUCUUCAUGUACGAUGGACGGAUCGAUCACGCAAGAUGGGAAAAGAUCCCGAUGGCCCUUUAGGCAAUUACUACUGCUCCUACUAAUCAUGGAUAAUUGACACAUGGGAUUGGAAUAUUAAUUCACAGUGGUGAGGUGAUGUAAGAGUGCAAGACACGUUCAUCCGACGAAGCACGUCCCACAUAUAUGGGUUAUAUAUAUGCGGUACAUCCUCCAAUGCAAAUGGAGUGAAGCUACGACAAA